UAAGAAGCCCAGACCUCGGCUCGAUAACUCGUUCCUCUGCUCCUCCCCGACUCGUCGACGACCGGAGGCGAUCUCCGCCGUCAGCUCAGCCCCAGCCGGAGCACCGGCAUGGUUUUUUUCUUCUCGCCAUCGCAGACGUGCUGGUGGUGGUAGCUUGUUCAAUCACCGCCAGAGAAGAGAGAAUCGAAGGCUUGAAGCCUUAAUAGUUCUGGGUUUCCAUCGACGACUUCGCAGUCUCCUCCAGCGUCUCCGACCACCGUUUGAUCUCCUCUUGGUAUCGAUAUUCUUUUACUCUUCGUGCUGUACAAGUCUAUAUAAUUGGUUUUUCACUUCGAUUAAGUUUUGAUCGAUUUACAUUUCUGGGUUCAUUUUGUCUCCGCCGUGUUCGUCGAUGUCGACCAAGUUCGUGGUUUCUCGUGGCCUGCUCUCUCCUUCCUUGCAUUCGAGCUGAGUUUUGAAGCUGCUUAGGGACUGAGUUACAAGUCGAAUGAAGUAAUCGAAGCUAGGAGAGAGUUUUACAAAGUUCGACAUAGAGGAGUUUCUGCAUUAUGGGCUUCUGUAUAUGAUUAAGGGACUCUAGAUACUCGAGGAAUGGAAAUGAAAAGUUCGUGACUCGUAAAGGGCGAGGGAAAGCAUUGGAAUCCAACCAAACCGUGAGAGAUUAUAAUGACUUGAGAGCAAGGGGUGGUACUAACGUCUUUGGGUUCGAUCCCCCAAACCUCUAGAAGGAUUAGUUACACAGGUUGUGCGAGUUUUCGAUCUUAAUGACGGAUUCGAAACGUGUGUGUAGCUUGGUAGUAGACGUUCCCACUACGCUCACAUGUUUUAUAUGGAUUUGAGGUAAGGUUGUGUAGUGGCUAUAAGACCGGCUAUCAGAGAGUAUGACAGAAAAGAUUGAGGGGCUGAUUGAUUAUAACAAGGCAAAAUUUAGUUUGUUGCAAAUAUGACGAUUAACGGGAGAACCAUAAAUAAAGUUGCAGUUUGGUGAGUUGUAAAUUUGGCAUUUGGAGUCCAAUUGACUAUUGUGAUACAUUUCCGAGAAGGAAACGACGCAAGGAGUUAAACUCGUCGCUUUGCCACUAUGUGUGAGUUUUUUCGGGUUUUCGAGUUCGUUUAGGGCCUCAAAACAACAUUUUUAUAUAUAUUCAGAAUUUAUGUUUUCUAGUUUGUUUU